AGUUACACAUUCAGGAAAUGGCCAAUUCAUUGGCAGCAUGCCCACUGCUAGGCCCACGGCGAUGUCAAGAACUGUUUUUACAGUGAUUUCGCCGUCUGUAACCAAGGGGAAAACAGUGCACACACAACACAGUAAGCUAGGACAUCGACAUCUAGCAACUUUUGCUGUUCUAUAUUGACAUCCGAGGGGAAGGAAAACGGUCCAACUGGUUGCUAGCUUAGUGGUUAGCUAGCUACCGCUAACUCCACAAUCAGCGCUUUGCUGCAGCCACACAGACGGGGCUAGUUCGCUGUCUACGGUGCUGAAGUUGAUCAUAUUUGCGUUGCAGCCAUAAACCAAGGAGUAGCUAAUAAUAUGAGCGUCAACACCGUCCCCUGCACCGUGAAGCCUACUGUCACCUUGCAGAUUGGAGAUGCUGAGACUGAUUCAUCUCGUCCCGGUGUCUAUGUCAUAGACGUUACACUUCCUAUAGGACAGACUGUCAACAUCCAGGAGAUCUCCUUUAAGAACUACUACACAGCAUACGUGUCUGUGCGUCUACUGAGGAGAGAUGGGGAGGGGGCCGCUAAAUGGGCUACAUGUCUGAGGAACCACUGUCUGAUGCCCAGCCCACAUACUGAAGAGGGUUCACAAGACUACUGCUCUGUCUUCCGACAACAGAUGCUGAUUGAACCAGACAAUGUGACUUCAGUGAGACUGAUCCUUCGACAGCCUUCAUCAGCCUGGCUGAAUUUCAGCGUGGAGGACAUCAAAAUACACCCCUGUUUAAAUGAAGAUUCAGAGUGGGACAUUCCCGAUUGGUUGUCAGACCUCACACAGGUGGACCAACUGUGUGAUUUACAGGGUCUUCCAGAUCCUCAGACGGUAUCUUCCAGUAUUCAGCAGAUGUGGGCGUUAACAGAGGUCAUGCAGACCAACCAGACCACUGCUUCCAUAGGCCGCUUCGAUGUUGAUGGCUGCUACGAUAUCAACUUGCUGUCCUUCACUUAACAAGGAAUUGACUGGAGGUUAAUUUUACAUGGUGUUGGUAAAAUGUGACGAUCAUCAUUAUCUCUUAAUUGCCUGACGAUGUUAUAUUUAAGUUUUAUGAAAAGUAUGUAUAUUUAUUUGUAAAACACUGUAAACUUUAUUUUUUUAUAUUUUUUUUUGUAAACACCUAGGCCACCUUUGCCACUCAUGAUUGUAACAUUGUUUAUAAUACAAGUCCAAUAGAACUGAGAUGCAUGGUGGCCUUCAGCCAGAUGAGGACAGUAGUGCUUCUUGAAUGAGACCAAGGAGACACUGUUAACUAACUAUUUGAGGUGUGGCUAUAGCAUGCUGGCUGGGGUUCUGGGUGGUUUGCAGUCUCCAAUUCUCUUUUUUGUAUUUAAAUAAAAUGUUUUUUAUUUUUUUAACUAGGCAAGUCAGUUAUUGUUAUUUACAAUGACAGCCAACCCCGGCCAAACCCUAACCGGGACGACACUGGGACUCCCAAUCACGGCCGGUUGUGAUACAGCCAGGAAUCUAACCAGGGUCUGUAGUGAUGCCUCUAGCACUGAGAUGCAGUGCCUUAGACCGCUGCGCCACGCUCGAGGCCAGGAUAUAGCAUGCUGGCUGGUGUUCUAUCUACAAUUCUCUUAUUGGUGUUUCAGUGGCAGUAUCUAUGACAUAUUGGAGGUCUGUGUUCUGCAGUCUGUCUGUCCUGGAUGUAAAAUAUUGGAGGUCCCUGUUCUGCAGUCUGUCUGUCUUGGAUGUACAGAUUCCUUUCGAAGAUACACUACAUUACCAAAAAUAUCUGGACACCUGCUUGUCGAACAUCUCAUUCCAAAAUCAUGGGUGUUAAUAUGGAGUUGGUCCCCCUUUGCUGCUACAACAGCCUCCACUCUUCUGGGAAGGCUUUCCACUUGGUGUUGGAACAUUGCUGCGGGGACUUGCUUCCAUUCAGCCACAAGAGUAUUAGUGUUGGGUGAUUAGGCCUGGCUCGCAGUCGGCGUUCCAAUUUAUCCCAAAGUUGUUUGAUGGGGUUGAGGUCAGAACUGUGUGCAGGCCAGUCAAGUUCUUCCACACUGAUCUAGACAAACCAUUUCUGUAUGGACCUUGCUGUCAUGCUGAAACAGGAAAUGGCCACAAAGUUGGAAGCACAGAAUUGUCUAAAAUGUAAUUGUGUUCUGUAGAAAUGUUCCUUCGCUGGAACUAAUGGGCCAAGACUGAAUCAUGAAAAACAUCCCCAGACCAUUAUAUAUAUAUAUAUAUAUAUAUAGAGAGAGAGAGAGAGAGAGAGAGAGAGAGAGAGAGAGAUUAUUUAUGUAUUUAUGGACAGAUCAUUUCUGGGUCAUGAAUCUGCACUGCAAUCCUUUAUUCAGAUGACAAGACCUCUCCCAAUUGUGACCCUUAUUCCCCUAUAUCAGUGGUUCUCAAUCCUGGUCCUGGGGACCCAAAGGGGUGCACAUUUUAGUUUUUGCCCUAGCACUACACACCUGAUUCAAAUCAACAACUCCCAGGACCAGGGUUGAGAACCACUGCCUUAUAUAGUGCACACUUUUUUUACCAAGGUCCCAUAGGGCUCUGAUCAAAAGUAAUGUACUAUAUAGAAAAUAGGGCACCAUUUGUGAAGCACCCCUGAUAAGUUAUUAGAAUGGCCUUGAUGUACUACAUGUAGCCUAGUGGUUAGAGCGUUGUGCCAGUAACCAAAAGGUUGCUGGAUCAAAUCCCCGAAGCUGACAAGGUAAAAAAAAAAAAAAGCUGUCGUUCUGCCCCUGAACAAGGCAGUUAACCCACUGUUCCUACGCCGUCAUUGUAAAUAAGAAUUUAUUCUUAACUGACUUGCCUAGUUAAAUAAUAAAUGUGCUUCUUGGAUAGCAUUAAAAUGGGAUUAGCCUUUCUCCCUGUGGAUUAAGUGCCUGACACAGUCAGGCUCAUCCUCUCCUCACGCUGUCACAUACAGUAAUGAAUCACCCAGGCCGGAUCCCAAAUGGCACCAUCUUUUCCCUUUGUAGUGCACUACUUUUGACCAGGGUCUAUAGGUGCAAUUCAGGUUGCAGUCCAAGUCAUAUUUCAUGCAAUUCUUUCUACCUUUUUUUCAGUAGGUGAAACAAGAAAGGUUGAAUGGAUCUACAUUAUUACAGAGAGGCUACAGUAUUACAGAGAGAGGCUACAGUAUUACAGAGAGAGGCUACAUUAUUACAGAGAGAGGCUACAGUAUUACAGAGAGAGGCUACAGUAUUACAGAGAGAGGCUACAUUAUUACAGAGAGAGGCUACAGUAUUACAGAGAGAGGCUACAGUAUUACAGAGAGAGGCUACAGUAUUACAGAGAGAGGCUACAUUAUUACAGAGAGAGGCUACAGUAUUACAGAGAGAGGCUACAUUAUUACAGAGAGAGGCUACAGUAUUACAGAGAGAGGCUACAGUAUUACAGAGAUAGGCUACAUUAUUACAGAGAGAGGCUACAGUAUUACAGAGAGAGGCUACAUUAUUACAGAGAGAGGCUACAUUAUUACAGAGAGAGGCUGCAGUAUUACAGAGAGAGUCUGCAGUAAUACAGAGAGAGGCUACAGUAUUACAGAGAGAGGCUGCAUUAUUACAGAGAGAGGCUACAGUAUUACAGAGAGAGGCUACAGUAUUACAGAGAGAGUCUACAGUAUUACAGAGAGAGGCUACAGUAUUACAGAGAGAGGCUACAGUAUUACAGGGGAGAGGCAUCUAAGCAAAAUAAACUAAGGCUUUAAAGAACCAGAGAAUUUUAAGGUUUAACAGAACAAGAGUUGAUUUAUGAAAGUUGAGGUCACUCCGUUGUUAAUGUUGAAAAUUACGAAUCGUUCAUCAUAUAAUAAAGUUAGUUCGUAGAUCACAGAGCAGCUUUGCAUUUUCAUUUGCAUUUGAUUCUCUCUGUGAGAAACUACACACCCAGUUAGCACAGGAUGUUGAAAAUAAGUAUUUUCAACAUCUUUUGCUCAUAGGGCAGGACUUAGUUGGUGUGAUAUUUCCCAUAACUAUCUACUAACAACUAUAAACUGGGUGGUUCGAGCCCUGAAUGCUGAUUGGCUGACGGUCGUGUUAUAUCAGACUGUAUACUCAGACUGUAUACCACGGGUAUGACAAAACAUUUAUUUUUACUGCUCUAAUUACAUUGGUAACCAGUUUAUAAUAGCAAUAAGGCACCUCUGGGUUUUGUAGUGUAUGUGGCAAAUACUUUUUCACAGCACUGUAUAUAUAUUAAAAUAUAUAUUAAAAUUUGUUUGAUCUGAAACAUUCAAGUUUGACAAACGUGCAAAAAAUAAGAAAUCAGGAAGGGGGCAAAUACUUUUUCACAGCAUUGUGUGUAUAUAUCUUUUUUUUAACCUUUAUUUAACUAGGCAAGUCAGUUAAGAACAAAUUCUUAUUUACAAUGACAGCCUACCACGGCUCAAGGCUGUAUCCAGUCACUCCACGUUUUGUCGUGCAUAAGAACAGCUCUUAGCUGUGGUAUAUUGACCGUAUACUAUACCUCCUUGUGCCUUAUUGCUUAAAUAACAAAUGCGAACGAAAAAUAUGAACAAUGAAAUAAAUUCUCCUUUCAAGAAAUCUAAAACA